AGUGAACGCUGGCGGUAGGCCUAACACAUGCAAGUCGAACGGCAGCACAGUAAGAGCUUGCUCUUACGGGUGGCGAGUGGCGGACGGGUGAGGAAUACAUCGGAAUCUACUUUUUCGUGGGGGAUAACGUAGGGAAACUUACGCUAAUACCGCAUACGACCUACGGGUGAAAGCAGGGGAUCUUCGGACCUUGCCCGAUUCAAUGAGCCGAGGUCGCAUUACCUAGUUGGCUGGGUAAAGGCCCACCAAGGCGACGAUCCGUAGCUGGUCUGAGAGGAUGAUCGGCCACACUGGAACUGAGACACGGUCCAGACUCCUACGGGAGGCAGCAGUGGGGAAUAUUGGACAAUGGGCGCAAGCCUGAUCCAGCCAUACCGCGUGGGUGAAGAAGGCCUUCGGGUUGUAAAGCCCUUUUGUUGGGAAAGAAAAGCAGCGGGUUAAUACCCCGCUGUUCUGACGGUACCCAAAGAAUAAGCACCGGCUAACUUCGUG
rnacentral:rRNA from 1 species